rnacentral:rRNA from 1 species
UGCUUAACACAUGCAAGUCGAACGGCAGCACGGUCUAGUUUACUAGAUGGGUGGCGAGUGGCGAACGGGUGAGUAACGCGUAGGAAUAUGCCUUAAAGUUUGGGAUAACAUGGGGAAACUCAUGCUAAUACCGGAUGAGCUCUUAGGAGGAAAGCUGGGGACCGCGAGGCCUGGCGCUUUAAGAUUAGCCUGCGUCCGAUUAGCUAGUUGGUGGGGUAAGGGCCUACCAAGGCGACGAUCGGUAGCUGGUCUGAGAGGAUGAUCAGCCACACUGGGACUGAGACACGGCCCAGACUCCUACGGGAGGCAGCAGUGGGGAAUAUUGGACAAUGGGGGGAACCCUGAUCCAGCAAUGCCGCGUGUGUGAAGAAGGCCUGAGGGUUGUAAAGCACUUUCAGUGGGGAGGAGGGGUGAUAGGUUAAGAGCUAAUUAUCUGGACGUUACCCACAGAAGAAGCACCGGCUAACUCCGUGCCAGCAGCCGCGGUAAUACGGAGGGUGCGAGCGUUAAUCGGAAUUACUGGG